UUUCCUACUAAAUGCGUCAGUUUCAUGGUCCAUGUAGGACAAGAGAAGGAGAAAAAGCAAAUAAGAUUUUCAAGAGUUCUUUAUCCGCUACA
ensembl:ncRNA K09E9.8 ncRNA